GAUGAACGCUGGCGGCGUGCCUAAUACAUGCAAGUCGAGCGAACAGACGAGGAGCUUUCUCCUCUGACGUUAGCGGCGGACGGGUGAGUAACACGUGGAUAACCUACCUAUAAGACUGGGAUAACUUCGGGAAACCGGAGCUAAUACCGGAUAAUAUAUUGAACCGCAUGGUUCAAUAGUGAAAGACGGUUUUGCUGUCACUUAUAGAUGGAUCCGCGCCGCAUUAGCUAGUUGGUAAGGUAACGGCUUACCAAGGCAACGAUGCGUAGCCGACCUGAGAGGGUGAUCAGCCACACUGGAACUGAGACACGGUCCAGACUCCUACGGGAGGCAGCAGUAGGGAAUCUUCCGCAAUGGGCGAAAGCCUGACGGAGCAACGCCGCGUGAGUGAUGAAGGUCUUCGGAUCGUAAAACUCUGUUAUUAGGGAAGAACAAAUGUGUAAGUAACUAUGCACGUCUUGACGGUACCUAAUCAGAAAGCCACGGCUAACUACGUG
rnacentral:rRNA from 1 species